AAUCAAUCUUAUUUCCCCUUCCUUAUUUUCUUUCCCCUCCCCUUUUCACCUAUCCAAACAAGUGGUUCUCCAUUAUCACAAUUCCAAAUUCAAUUUUCACACAUUUGGCUGGAAGGACUUCACUGUGGAAGGCACUGUCUCUGCAAGUGCUGGAGGCAUCAUUCAAUAUGGCUUCUGAUGUAGAAAAGCAUUUCCCCUCAAAGAGAACUACUGAUACCUUCCCUCCACCAAAGUAAGAAGUGGGUCAGUUCUGUACUCAGUAGCCAGAUUGUGGGUGUUGUUUUCUUAUUGGUGUGAACCUGCUAUUCACAAUAUAAUUCUUCUACUGCCCCUGUCUUGGUGCCAGAAUCGCUUACUGUUCACAGUGUAAUCUUGUUGGUGCCCCUGCCUUGGUAUUGGAAUGGCUUGGUGAAUUUACUGAAUGAAAUCCUUUGCUUGAUAUUGAUUGUACGGUGAGAUAUAUGUGAAUAGGUUGCUUGAUAGGGUCUGCAAUAUCUGGCUUCCAAGCAAGACUAAGAUAUGCACUAUAAUUAUAUUUGUUUCUAAGUGGAAUCAUUGAAUGGUGUGAAGCUUUUGUUUGCCUCAAAGUAUUCAUUUCUCUUUAUCUCUUUCACUCAGGUCACGACAGCUAAAUUCCUGUAAUAUAUUGCUUCUUUGAUUUUAGUUUGCAUUUGUUUUUUUCUCUUUUCAUGCUUAUAUGUUUUGAAUGAUGAUUUAGUUGAAUUCUUUGAUUCUAGUGUU